GACGAACGCUGGCGGCGUGGAUUAGGCAUGCAAGUCGGACGGUAGGGCUUUAUCGUAAGAUAGAGUUUGAGAGUGGCGAACGGGUGAGUAACACGUAGGAAUCUACCCUUAAGACGGGGACAACCCAGGGAAACUUGGGCUAAUACCGGAUGAGAGUGCGAGAGAUUGCAUUUAAAAGGAUGGCGAAAGUUGUCGCUUAGGGAUGAGCCUGCGGUCUAUUAGUUAGUUGGUGAGGUAAGAGCUCACCAAGGCGAUGAUAGAUAGGCGGCCUUAACGGGUGGUCGCCCACACUGGGAUUGAGAUACGGCCCAGACUCCUACGGGAGGCAGCAGUCGAGAAUAGUCUACAAUGGCCGGAAGGCUGAAUGUGCGAGCCGCGUGAAACGAGGGAGCCCUUCGGGGUGUAAAGUUCUUUUCUAUACGAGCAGUGCUAUAUAUAACUGGGAAUGUAAUAUAUAGAGGGAUAGUAGUAAUAGGGAAUAAAGCAAACGGCUAACUCCGUGCCAGCAGCCG
rnacentral:rRNA from 1 species